GCGGGAUUAGCACAUCGGUAGUGCAGCGGCUUCCCAAGCCGCGGAGGUGGGUUCGACUCCCAUGUUCCGCU
rnacentral:tRNA from 1 species